ensembl:lncRNA
AUCAUCUUGCAUCUGUGCUUUCUGAGCCUGCUCUCACAGUCUGCAUACAGAAACCAGCUGGAGAAAGGGCUGCAAGAUCAAGCAUCACUUUUUGUGGUUUGCACAGUUUGGAGCAUGGAUGUUUUAUUUCACAGAAUAAUUGAAUUCACCGGGUAAAAUUUGUGGUUAAUAUAGUUGUGAAUUAUUCCAGGAGCACUAGACACUGGCACAUACUGCUGGAGCAUUGAGGACCAGAGGUUCCAACCAGCGAAGUGAAUGGAAAGACUCCCACUGAUUGCAGAGAAUUUGAAUCAGGCUUGAAGCCAGGUACGGAAACCAGGCAUUGAUUGACCAGCAAAAUACUGAUGUUGCUUUCCAGCAUCUGUCAAUAUUCAUCAUUUUUUAAAACUUUUAAAAUGGUGCUGACACUGCUCUAGCACCAUAACACUGAAAUCAUCAUUC